GACGAACGCUGGCGGCGUGCUUAACACAUGCAAGUCGAACGGAAAGGCCCUGCUUUUGUGGGGUGCUCGAUUGGCGAACGGGUGAGUAACACGUGAGUAACCUGCCCUUGACUUUGGGAUAACUUCAGGAAACUGGGGCUAAUACCGGAUAGGAGCUCCUGCUGCAUGGUGGGGGUUGGAAAGAUUCGGCGGUUGGGGAUGGACUCGCGGCUUAUCAGCUUGUUGGUGGGGUAGUGGCUUACCAAGGCUUUGACGGGUAGCCGGCCUGAGAGGGUUACCGGCGACAUUGGGACUGAGAUACGGCGCAGACUGCUACGGGAGGCAGCAGUGGAGAAUAUUGCACAAUGGGGGGAAGCCUGAUGCAGAAGCGCCGCGUGCGUGAUGACGGGCUUCGGGUUGUAAACCGCUUUCGCCUGUGACGAAGCGUGAGUGACGGUAAUGGGUAAAGAAGCACCGGCUAACUACGUG
rnacentral:rRNA from 1 species